rnacentral:rRNA from 3 species
GGACUACCCGGGUAUCUAAUCCCGUUCGCUCCCCUGGCUUUCGCGUCUCAGCGUCAGUAGGCGUCCAGGACCUCGCUUUCGCCACGGGCGUUCCUUCCGAUCUCAACGCAUUUCACCGCUCCACCGGAAGUUCCAGGUCCCCCUACGCCCCUCGAGACGAGCCGUAUCCGCGCCCGUUCCCCGGUUGAGCCGGGGGAUUUCAGCGACAGACGUGCUCAUCCGCCUACACGCGCUUUAAGCCCAGUGAUUCCGAAUAACGUUCGCACGGUUCGUCUUACCGCGGCGGCUGGCAC